rnacentral:rRNA from 1 species
GACGAACGCUGGCGGCGUGCUUAACACAUGCCAGUCGAACGGAAAGGCCCUGCUUUUGUGGGGUGCUCGAGUGGCGAACGGGUGAGUAACACGUGAGUAACCUGCCCUUGACUUUGGGAUAACUUCGGGAAACUGGGGCUAAUACCGGAUAGGAGCUCCUGCUGCAUGGUGGGGGUUGGAAAGUUUCGGCGGUUGGGGAUGGACUCGCGGCUUAUCAGCUUGUUGGUGGGGUAGUGGCUUACCAAGGCUUUGACGGGUAGCCGGCCUGAGAGGGUGACCGGCCACAUUGGGACUGAGAUACGGCCCAGACUCCUACGGGAGGCAGCAGUGGGGAAUAUUGCACAAUGGGCGGAAGCCUGAUGCAGCAACGCCGCGUGCGGGAUGACGGCCUUCGGGUUGUAAACCGCUUUCGCCUGUGACGAAGCGUGAGUGACGGUAAUGGGUAAAGAAGCACCGGCUAACUACGU